rnacentral:rRNA from 2 species
GCUCAAAUUUAAAAUCUCCCAGGUUCCCUGGGCGAAUUGUAGUUUCAAGAAACGAUUUCUGAGGUGGGCGCGGACCAAGUUUGCUGGAAGGCAACGCCGUAGAGGGUGAUAGCCCCGUAGGUCUCUGACUCCACUUCGUUUAUGAUUGCGUUUUCUAAGAGUCGUACAGUUUGAGAAUGCUGUGCUAAUUGGGAGGUAAAUAUCUUUAAAGCUAAAUACUGGCGUGAGUCCGAUAGCGAACAAGUACCGUGAGGGAAAGAUGAAAAGGACUUUGAAAAGAGAGUUAAAUAGUACGUGAAAUUGUCUAAAGUGAAACGUUUGAAUCCAGUAUCGGGGAAUGACGAUCAGACGAAAGUCGCACUCGUUGUUUUCUGUGUCAGCGACACUUUGGUUUCCAGUAAAAAGGUUUCCGGGAAUGUAGGUAUCUUUCGGGGUACUGUUAUAGCCUGAUGUCCAUUAUGCUGGGGGCCAGAGUGAUGAUCGCCACUGCCUUGGGGAAAGCUGCCGCCUCUGCGUAACCGUUUGUGGACAACUUGUUGAUCAUGAGCGAAUUGCGUGGGGCCCGGUAGUGUACCACUUUACAGUGUAGGUCGCUGAUGAAAUGGAUUUAAGCGACCCGUCUUGAAACACGGACCAAGGAGUUCUACAAAUGCGCGAGUCUUUGGGUGUUAAACCCGAGGGCGAAAUGAAAGUAAACGUAGGUGUGAUCCGCAAGGUGCAACAUCGACCGGACUGGAUUUUCUUGAAAGUUCUGAGUAAGAGCGCAUUUGCAGAGACCCGAAAGAUGGUGAACUAUACCUGAGUAGGGUGAAGUCAGAGG